GACGAACGCUGGCGGCGUGCUUAACACAUGCAAGUCGAACGGAAAGGCCCUGCUUUUGUGGGGUGCUCGAGUGGCGAACGGGUGAGUAACACGUGAGUAACCUGCCCUUGACUUUGGGAUAACUUCAGGAAACUGGGGCUAAUACCGGAUAGGAGCUCCUGCUGCAUGGUGGGGGUUGGAAAGUUUCGGCGGUUGGGGAUGGACUCGCGGCUUAUCAGCUUGUUGGUGGGGUAGUGGCUUACCAAGGCUUUGACGGGUAGCCGGCCUGAGAGGGUGACCGGCCACAUUGGGACUGAGAUACGGCCCAGACUCCUACGGGAGGCAGCAGUGGGGAAUAUUGCACAAUGGGCGGAAGCCUGAUGCAGCAACGCCGCGUGCGGGAUGACGGCCUUCGGGUUGUAAACCGCUUUCGCCUGUGACGAAGCGUGAGUGACGGUAAUGGGUAAAGAAGCACCGGCUAACUACGUGCCAGCAGCCGCGGUGAUACGUAGGGUGCGAGCGUUGUCCGGAUUUAUUANGCGUAAAGGGCUCGUAGGUGGUUGAUCGCGUCGGAAGUGUAAUCUUGGGGCUUAACCCUGAGCGUGCUUUCGAUACGGGUUGACUUGAGGAAGGUAGGGGAGAAUGGAGUUCCUGGUGGAGCGGUGGAAUGCGCAGAUAUCAGGAGGAACACCAGUGGCGAAGGCGGUUCUCUGGGCCUUUCCUGACGCUGAGGAGCGAAAGCGUGGGGAGCGAACAGGCUUAGAUACCCUGGUAGUCCACGCUGUAAACGGUGGGUACUAGGUGUGGGGUCCAUUCCACGGGUUCCGUGCCGUAGCUAACGCUUUAAGUACCCCGCCUGGGGAGUACGGCCGCAAGGCUAAAACUCAAAGGAAUUGACGGGGCCCCGCACAAGCGGCGGAGCAUGCGGAUUAAUUCGAUGCAACGCGUAGAACCUUACCUGGGUUUGACAUGGAUCGGGAGCGCUCAGAGAUGGGUGUGCCUCUUUUGGGGUCGGUUCACAGGUGGUGCAUGGCUGUCGUCAGCUCGUGUCGUGAGAUGUUGGGUUAAGUCCCGCAACGAGCGCAACCCUUGUUCACUGUUGCCAGCACGUUAUGGUGGGGACUCAGUGGAGACCGCCGGGGUCAACUCGGAGGAAGGUGGGGAUGACGUCAAGUCAUCAUGCCCCUUAUGUCCAGGGCUUCACGCAUGCUACAAUGGCUGGUACAGAGAGUGGCGAGCCUGUGAGGGUGAGCGAAUCUCGGAAAGCCGGUCUCAGUUCGGAUUGGGGUCUGCAACUCGACCUCAUGAAGUCGGAGUCGCUAGUAAUCGCAGAUCAGCAACGCUGCGGUGAAUACGUUCCCGGGGCU
rnacentral:rRNA from 1 species